rnacentral:rRNA from 1 species
AACGAACGCUGGCGGCAUGCCUAACACAUGCAAGUCGAACGAGACCUUCGGGUCUAGUGGCGCACGGGUUCGUAACGCGUGGGAACCUGCCCUUAGGUUCGGAAUAACUCCCCGAAAGGGGUGCUAAUACCGGAUAAUGUCUUCGGACCAAAGAUUUAUCGCCUUUGGAUGGGCCCGCGUUGGAUUAGCUAGUUGGUAGGGUAAAAGCCUACCAAGGCGACGAUCCAUAGCUGGUCUGAGAGGAUGAUCAGCCACACUGGGACUGAGACACGGCCCAGACUCCUACGGGAGGCAGCAGUGGGGAAUAUUGGACAAUGGGCGAAAGCAUGAUCCAGCAAUGCCGCGUGAGUGAUGAAGGCCUUAGGGUUGUAAAGCUCUUUUACCCGGGAUGAUAAUGACAGUACCGGGAGAAUAAGCUCCGGCUAACUCCGUG